rnacentral:rRNA from 1 species
GGAGAGCUUUGCGUCCUAUUAGCUAGUUGUAAGGUAAGAGCUUACCAAGGCGAUGAUAGGUAGCCGGCCUGAGAGGGUGGACGGCCACAAGGGGACUGAGAUACGGCCCCUUACUCCUACGGGAGGCAGCAGUGGGGAAUAUUGGACAAUGGAGGGAACUCUGAUCCAGCAAUUCUGUGUGUGUGAAGAAGGUUUUAGGACUGUAAAACACUUUUAGUAGGGAAGAAAAAAAUGACGGUACCUACAGAAGAAGCAACGGCUAAAUACGUGCCAGCAGCCGCGGUAAU